rnacentral:tmRNA from 1 species
GGGGGCGAAAUGGGUUCGACGGGGAUAGUUGAGGCUGAGGUGGCAUGCCGAGGUCCCGUUAGCUCGUAAAACAAAUGGGAAAUAAAAUAAACGCAAACUCUUAUGAGUAUGCCUUAGCUGCUUAAUCGCAGCUAACGUCCUCUCAACUCUCGCCCGUGGGGUUGAGAAGGGCGCCGACUAGCGGGCCUGGUUCCUUUCUUUUUGCCUGGAGGAGAAAGGGAUAAGAACUAAUCCGGGCUAGCACCUUAAAUCCAUCCCUGUCUGUGGGGAUCGGAGGGUGUGAAGAGCUUAAACACAGAAUAAGCAUGUAGAGGCCUCGAGCCAAAGGUUUCCGGACGCGGGUUCGAUUCCCGCCGCCUCCACCA